UUUUUUAAUUGAAAACUUGAAUGAAUGGUUGAAUGAAAUAUUAACUGUUUCAAAAAAUUAUUAUUAUAAUUUUUAUUUUUAGUUAAAAUACUAAAAUAAAUUUAAAAGACGAGAAGACCCUAUAGAGUUUUAUAUUUAAUUAAAAUUUUAAAAAUUUAGAAUAUAUUUAAUUAAUUUUUUUUUAAUUAUUUUAUUGGGGUGAUAUUAAAAUUUAAUAAACUUUUAUAAAAAUAAACAAUAAUUAAUGAUUAAUUGAUCCAAUUUUAUUGAUUAAAAAUUUAAAUUACCUUAGGGAUAACAGCGUAAUUUUUUUUUAAAGUUCAUAUUUAUAAAAAAGAUUGC
rnacentral:rRNA from 1 species